GCCCCCGUAGUCCAACCGGCAGAGACACACGACUCAAACUCGUGCCAGUGUGGGUUCGAAUCCCACCGGGGGUACCC
rnacentral:tRNA from 1 species